rfam:Triticum aestivum genome assembly, contig: Triticum_aestivum_CS42_TGACv1_scaffold_158456_2DL
CCUCUCGACGACGACAAGCUGAUCUCCUACAUCCUCGCCGGCCUCGACAUGGAGUAUCAACCGCUUGUGUCCGCCCUCGACGCGCGCACAAUCCCGGUCACACUGGACAAGUUGUUCGCUCAGAUGAGCAACUUCGAUC